rnacentral:lncRNA from 1 species
GAACAAAAUAAGGAUGAAGCUUAAUGCAUUAAGGGUUAUAGUUGUGAGAAUGUGCUAGCCUGGAGUGCCUAAGGGUGAGGCCGCCUGACAGUGGGCUCCAGACAGGAAGGUGUCUGGCUGCAGCAUCACUGCCAUUGCUGUGGUUCCUGUUCUUUGGCUGUGGAGUGUCCUAUGUGUCAGUUGCCCUCCCAGGUUAUGAUUAGAGAAGUCCUGGACAGUGUUAGGUACCCGCUGGUGGAUAGCAUUACUAAUGUGUGGGACCUUAAUCAUUUGCCCACAUCCCUUCUCUAGACUCCCUAGAAUCCAGACAAGAUUCAGAAAUGGGUGUUACCCUUUCUUGGCCUUUGAAUCUUGUUCUUCCGGCUUUGCUCAGGUUUUACUCUUAUUGCCUACUUCUGUUUUAGGAAACACUCUGUGUCCAGGGAAAGGAUGCACAGUUAUGGCAGUGUUUGUUUUCAGAGACUAAAUGGAGGUUGGCAGAUAAAGGAUGGGGGGUACACUUUGCUCAGAAACCACAAGGUACUGCUCCCUGACGUGUCAUGUUUCUCUGUAUGUAGGUGAUAAGUGUCGCUUUGCCUCCUUCUGAAAGGAACAAGUGCCUCUUUGGUUGUCUUGACCUUGUUUACCUUGGCUCUGCCUGUGAAAAAGAAAGAAAGAAAGAAAGAAAGAAAAGAAAGAAAGAAAG